AUUUAUUUCAUAAUAAAAUGUUGCAUAUUUUUCAAUGACUGGUUGUUAAGCGUCUCUCUAAUGACACACAAGUCCAGGGUUUUAUCCUUAUACUAAAAUAUUUUUGUCAAGGACAAAUGAAAUAUAGAUGUUAAUUGUUUACUUGGAGGUUCAGCUAAUGCCGAUGUAAAUUAUCCCGACAGCGGAUUCCAGCGGUGGUUGAUUUUGAAACCAUUACGAUGCCAAUGCCCAUUCAUUCUCAUCGUAUGACCUCAAAACCGGCCAUUUGAAGUGUGUCCCAGAAUGUCCUAUCUCAAGUAACACCAGUCCUUUCCUACAUUAAUACCAAUACAGGCCACCGACACACUUCCCAUUGCAGCCCCAGGUACUCAACACAGUUCAUAGAUAGCACACAGGACGUUCUCUCAAGUCAAGACAGCCUAAACCUCCAUAACUUUUAUAUCACUGCAGCUGGAUCUACACCAGUCCUUCUUCCCGUCUAAACAUGUCUUCUCUUACUUGUGUUCAAUGGUACUCUCAUGCGCACCAUCAAUGUGGCUCGGGAGCAGAGUUACAACAGUUUGUUUCUUUUCUUGCGGUGGUUGAUUUUGAAACCAGAACGAUGCCAAUGCCCACUCAUUCUCAUCGUAUUACCUCAAAACCAUCUAUUCGAAUUUUUUUUUCUUGCGGUGGUAGAUUUCGACAAACUUUUGUAAGACAAAGUAGAGCUGACAAAAUCGUGUCUUUAAAAUAGCGCCGACAAAAAAGCGACUGUAUCUCAUAUCAAAUAUGCCUUGAUCUAAAAAUCAUAUUUUUAUCUGGAGGCAGCAGAGGUUUAAAUUCUGAGUUUUCCUUCUCCAUCGGGCAGUAAGAACUCGGUAGCUUUAGGUGGCAACCAAUCUUUUGUCCUACACGUUAAGCUCCUAAACG